UAAUUAACCUACCGGCGGACGGGUGAGUAACACGUACGCAACCUGGCCACAAGACAGGGAUAACUACCGGAAACGGUAGCUAAUACCCGAUACAUCCUUUUCCUGCAUGGUAGAAGGAGGAAAGGCGGAGCAAUCUGUCACUUGUGGAUGGGCCUGCGGCGCAUUAGCUAGUUGGUGGGGUAAAGGCCUACCAAGGCGACGAUGCGUACCCGACCUGAGAGGGUGAUCGGCCACACUGGGACUGAAACACGGCCCAGACUCCUACGGGAGGCAGCAGUAGGGAAUCUUCCGCAAUGGGCGAAAGCCUGACGGAGCAACGCCGCGUGAGUGAUGAAGGUUUUCGGAUCGUAAAGCUCUGUUGCCAGGGAAAAACGUUUUGUAGAAUAACUGCUCAUGAAGUGACGGUACCUGAGAACAA
rnacentral:rRNA from 1 species